CAUGAUUAGCCUAGCUAGGAUUGUUUAGAGGGUAGUCGCAGUCGCCCCAACUCCGACUGGUUAGAUAGCUUUAUCUAUCUAAUUAGUAAGGUGAGAAACAACAUUUGUUGGAAACUUUAAUUUUUUAAGAAAUUAAGGAACUGU
ncrna:unclassified sequences IS605-orfB-II RNA